rnacentral:rRNA from 1 species
UUUGAUCAUGGCUCAGGACGAACGCUGGCGGCGUGCCUAAUACAUGCAAGUCGAGCGGAGAUAGUGGAGCUUGCUCCAUUAUCUUUAGCGGCGGACGGGUGAGUAACACGUGGGCAACCUGCCCUGCAGAUCGGGAUAACUCCGGGAAACCGGUGCUAAUACCGAAUAGUUUGCGGCCUCUCAUGAGGCUGCACGGAAAGACGGUUUCGGCUGUCACUGCAGGAUGGGCCCGCGGCGCAUUAGCUAGUUGGUGAGGUAACGGCUCACCAAGGCCACGAUGCGUAGCCGACCUGAGAGGGUGAUCGGCCACACUGGGACUGAGACACGGCCCAGACUCCUACGGGAGGCAGCAGUAGGGAAUCUUCCGCAAUGGACGAAAGUCUGACGGAGCAACGCCGCGUGAGUGAAGAAGGUUUUCGGAUCGUAAAACUCUGUUGUGAGGGAAGAACAAGUACCAAGUAACUACUGGUACCUUGACGGUACCUCACCAGAAAGCCACGGCUAACUACGUGCCAGCAGCCGCGGUAAUACGUAGGUGGCAAGCGUUGUCCGGAAUUAUUGGGCGUAAAGCGCGCGCAGGCGGUCCUUUAAGUCUGAUGUGAAAGCCCACGGCUCAACCGUGGAGGGUCAUUGGAAACUGGGGGACUUGAGUGCAGAAGAGGAAAGUGGAAUUCCACGUGUAGCGGUGAAAUGCGUAGAGAUGUGGAGGAACACCAGUGGCGAAGGCGACUUUCUGGUCUGUAACUGA